UACGGGGGGAGCAAGCGUUGUUCGGAUUUACUGGGCGUAAAGGGUGCGUAGGUGGCGGGGUAAGUCUGAUGUGAAAUCUCCGAGCUUAACUCGGAAACUGCAUCGGAUACUGCUUUGCUCGAGGGUUGGAGGGGGGACUGGAAUACUUGGUGUAGCAGUGAAAUGCGUAGAUAUCAAGUGGAACACCAGUGGCGAAGGCGAGUCCCUGGACAACUCCUGACACUGAGGCACGAAAGCUAGGGGAGCAAACAGG
rnacentral:rRNA from 1 species